ensembl:lncRNA novel transcript
CCUACACUCAGGCCCCUCCCACACCGUGGUGUGCAUUUUCAUGUUCAAUACAUCCCUUCAUCCCUUCCGUGCUUUGUUUGUGCGUUUUGUCAAAUUCUUUGUUCAAGACACCAAGAACCUGGACACCCUCCACCGGUAACAUGUAUUUUGGCCAGCCAGCCAGGAGGAAGAGGGACACGCAUGAAAUUUGGUGCCAUGACUCGGAUCAGGGGACCUCCCUUGGGAGAUCAAUCCCCUGUCCUCCUGCUCUUUGCUCAGUGAGAAAGAUCCACCUAUGACCUCAGGUCCUCAGACCAACCAGCCCAAGGAACAUCCCACCAAUUUUAAACCCGGACCCCACUGGAAACUGGACUGUCCAACUCACCCAGCAGCCACUCCCAGAGCCCCUGGAACUCUGGCCCAAGGCUAUCUGACUGACUCCUUCCCAGAUCUUCUCCGCUUAGCGGCUGAAGACUGAUGCUGCCCAAUCGCCUCAGAAGCUUCCUGGAUCAUCACAGAUGCUUUAGGUAACUCUUACAGUGGAGGAUGCCGUCACUGCCACCAGGAGCCCUGUACUAUCAGCCAUGGUCAACCCCACCGUGUUCUUUGACAUCGCAGUCACGGCGAGCCCUUGGGUCACGUCUCCUUUGAGCUGUUUGCAGACAAGAUUCCAAAAACAGCAGAAAACUUUCAUGCUCUGAGCACUGGAGAGGAAGGAUUUGGUUAUAAGGGUUCCUGCUUUCACAUAAUUAUUCCAGGAUUUAUGUGUCAGGGUGGUGACUUCAUAUGCCAUAAUGGCACUGGUGGCAAGUCCAUCUAUGGGGAGAAAUUUGAUGAUGAGAACUUCAUCCUAAGGCAUACACGUCCUGGCAUCUUGUCCAUGGCAAAUGCUGGAUCCAAUACAAACGGUUCCCAGUUUUUCAUCUGCACUGACAA